GACGAACGCUGGCGGCGUGCUUAACACAUGCAAGUCGAACGGAAAGGCCCUGCUUGCAGGGUACUCGAGUGGCGAACGGGUGAGUAACACGUGGGUGAUCUGCCCUGCACUUCGGGUUAAGCCUGGGAAACUGGGUCUAAUACCGGAUAGGAGCCAUUUUUAGUGUGAUGGUUGGAAAGUUUUUUCGGUGUAGGAUGAGCUCGCGGCCUAUCAGCUUGUUGGUGGGGUAAUGGCCUACCAAGGCGGCGACGGGUAGCCGGCCUGAGAGGGUGGACGGCCACAUUGGGACUGAGAUACGGCCCAGACUCCUACGGGAGGCAGCAGUGGGGAAUAUUGCACAAUGGGCGCAAGCCUGAUGCAGCGACGCCGCGUGGGGGAUGACGGCCUUCGGGUUGUAAACUCCUUUCGCUAGGGACGAAGCUUUUGUGACGGUACCUAGAUAAGAAGCACCGGCUAACUACGUG
rnacentral:rRNA from 1 species